CCCUUUGACCCUAAUGACAGAUGCUACGAGUGUGGUGAGAAAGGCCACUAUGCUUAUGAUUGUCACCGCUAUAGUCGCCGAAGGAGGAGCAGGUUUCUUCGUUUGAGUCAGUCGCCUUGAUUCAGAAUGUCACGAGCCUUAAGAUUUCAUGCUGAGGCGCCUUGCAAAUCCGACACUUAAGAUCCUCCUAGACCUUGAGGUGAUCAGCAUAAGAGGCCAGAUCCCCUCGAGCCAUCUACACGUAGCUUCACCUUAUUCUUUAAGGGCAGAAAAUUUGAGACGGUGAUCGCCGUAACAGUAAAUUUGGCUUUCAAUUGGGGCCCCCCUCCGGUUUAGAAAGAGGAACACCAGAUUGACCACAUUCCCACCUAGAAAAAUCUUCUUGCGUCAAUCAAGCCUCACCCUGGCUCAUUGGGCUGUCAGUUUGAUCGUCGUUAGAUUGAAGAGAACACCUAGAUGCAGCGAUCGGCUAUAGAUACUUCUAGAUCGUCUAGAUCUGCUAGACCUUGGGCCAAAGAGGGUCGACCUGCAAACUUGCAAGGUUUAUUUUAAAUACACAUUACAGUGUUUUCUAUUCUAAUGUAAUUCUGCAAUGUAAUUCAGCUUUUAACAUUUUUCUAGGUAGUAAAAUGCUCAAGACAAGUAGGCCCAGAGAUUUUUCCAACUGACAGAUGCUAGUGGUGUGUUUUUGUUGGUUUGGUUUGGUUUGGUUUUUUUUUUUUUUUCUUUUUAGUUGUCUGAAAUCAGUUUUGACUUCAGCAGGGCCUCACAUGCACUGAUUGCUGCAGCUGUUUCCUGAUACCUGUUUUCUCUAACCUAAAACCAGGUCCCGGUCUAGAUCCCGUUCAAGGUCCCGAGGAAGAAGGUAUUCUCGGUCACGCAGUCGGAGUCGUGGUAGGAGAUCAAGGUCAGCUUCCUACCGCAGGUCCAGAUCAAUCUCUCCUCGUAGGUAUAGAUCAUUUUCACCCCGCAGAUCUCGAUCUGGUUCUUUAAGGAGAUCAAGAUCUAGGUCCAGAUCACGCUCAAGGUCCCGGUCUGUUGUAUGGCCUCGAAGCAGUCGCUCAAAGUCCAGAUCACCAUCUCCAAAGAGAAGUCACUCACCAUCAGGAAGCCCUUGAAGGAGUGCAAGUCCUGAAAGAAUGGAUUCAAAUUUAAAAAGUUUAAGAAGAAAAUUUAUUUUGUUUACAUUAUUAUAAGGGAUUUUGUGGUGUCUUUAUAAAUGUAAGGGCUUAGGCCUAGAAGGCUGUUUCUAUUGACUAACAAUUGGCAUGAAUCUGAAUCUUUUAAAAGUCUUAUUAGUAGACUAAUGCAAAACUCUUUUGUUGUGUUAACGUUCUGUGAUCUGGAAAUGUUGGGCUUUUUUUAUUGGCGCAUUGAAAUAAACUGUGCAUUUCUAAUGAAGAAAUAUUUUGUGAUAACCCUGCUGUUUCUGUUAACAUUUGGGUAGCUGAAGCAGGUCAUGUGCCACUGUGGUGAAAAGCAGGUGGCAGGCUGUUGCAGGCACUUGUGAAUUGAGCGUAGUGCAGCAGCCAGUCGAGGGCUGUCCUGCAGGCGUGUGCCUGUGGCAGGACUUCUUCCUACACGUGCAGAUGGGAGUUGCCAGUACCAGCUGUCGUUCUUUCUCACUGUUCGGUCUUGAAUGUUCUGGUGAUCUGUACCUUGUGGUUUUAUUUGCACCUCCUCAAAGCUCAGUGAAGCUGAAAACCUGUCUGGAGGUGCUUGUACACUUGAUGAUUUGACUGACUGACUUAGAAAAAUGUCUACAAAGGGCAUUAACAGAUGGAAAAACCAAGGAAUGUGUGAAUGCUGGUCUCCCUGUCCUGUUGAUUAAAGGACUUGAAGGUAUUUGGAAUACUUCUGGAAUGUAAACUAUUGAAGUAAAUAUUUUUAGAAGUCUUGUUUUAUGUCCUGGUUGUCCAAAUAGUACUACUUCCUUGCAUACUUAAGAUAAAUUGGCUGUUCUGGUGCAGAAGAUGAUAGAUAGAUUUAGAUACUCUUUUUAGGAAAUGAAGGCUUUUCUUAGAAAUUGAAGGUCACAACCAGAACCUGCAGGUCAUGUUUAAAUAGCAGUACAUUUGGGGAAUCCACCCCUCAGUUACACCUGUCUGCCCUGAACUGCCUGGUCACAUCUUCUUCAGCAGCAAAGUGUAGCCAAGGGACUUGCUGUGUCCCAUUCAGUUGUUGCUUUGGGAAACUGGACUACAGCUGCCUGUAUACAGAUGGUCCCACUGCUGAUAGCUGAAGGAUUUAGUCUAAGUAUGAUAAACGAGUGCAAGGUCUUUGCCAGUUUGAUUUGUCUUUGCAGCUGAUGAUGGCUAUUAUCAGACUAGUAAGGAAAUCAGAGUGCUAGAUGAUUUUUGACUUAGCAGUCUUCCUUACAGUAUGUUCUGGCCUAUAUUCCUGUGUCUUACAGGCUAGCGAGGAACAAUAAUUCUCUUGGGGCUUCCAAUUUGUCAGCAGUGGGUUGGUACUCUACUGUUAGAGUAGAGCACUGCAGCUGCGCAUGGGCACCCAACCCCAGGUUUUCAGAGGAACGUUGGUCAUUGUUGCUUUACAAGAUGUCCAGGUAUUAAAAGAAUGAUAAUGAGCCCCUAUACAUAAUUUCACAGACUCAUCCUGUGUACUACAGUACGUUUGUCUCAUCCCUUGUCUCUUCUCUCUUCCCCAUUUUUGUACAUUUUAGUGCAUUGGUGCUUAGUAGAAUAAGUAAGUGACUUUCCUUGCUGAUGCUGCUGCAAUUAAUAUUUUGUUACAACCCUAGUCCGUUAUAAGCUGCAGAAGAGGGAGCUGGAAGCAACAGCAUUAAACUAGGCUGACCCAAAAGCUAAACACUGCUUGGGGGGGGAGGAUUUAUUGGGUUCUCUUCCCCCUGCCCCACUGCAGUUUACAGCAUUGAUGGUAAAACUACCCCAUGUGACAGUGCUUAUAAGGGGGGGGGGGGGUAUAGCUUUUUCUUAUUUUCCCUCUGUACUGCUGAAGCAAGCUGACUGCAAU